AUUGAACGCUGGCGGCAGGCUUAACACAUGCAAGUCGAACGAGUGGCGGACGGGUGAGUAAUGAUUGGGCAUCUGGCUUAUGGAGGGGGAUAAAGACGGGAAACUAUCGCCAAUACCGCGAACAAUAGGCUGAGCCGAAGUGGGCUUAGGUGGUUGUGGGGGUAUUGGCCUACCACGAGGACGAUCUCUAGCUGGUCGGAGAGGAUGACCGGCAACACGGGGACGGGGAGCCGGCCCGGACUCCUACGGGAGGCAGCAGUGGGGAAUAUUGCGCAAGGGGGGAAACCCUGACGCAGCAAGGCCGGGUGAAGGAAGAAGGCCUUCGGUUUUAAAAGUCCUUUCAGUGUUGAGGCGUUACCUACAGAAGAAGCACCGGCUAACUCCGUGCCAGCAGCCGCGGUAAUAC
rnacentral:rRNA from 1 species